rnacentral:tRNA from 1 species
GCGGGCGUAGCUCAGUGGCAGAGCAUAGUCUUUCCAAGAUUAGUGCAUAGGUUCGAUUCCUUUCGCCCGCUCCA